AGAGCGAACGCUGGCGGCAGGCCUAACACAUGCAAGUCGAGCGCCCGUAGCAAUACGGGAGCGGCAGACGGGAUAGUAACACGUGGGAACGCGCCCUUCGGUUCGGAAUAACUCAGGGAAACUUGAGCUAAUACCGGAUACGCCCUUACGGGGAAAGAUUUAUUGCCGAAGGAACGGCCCGCGUCCGAUUAGCUAGUUGGUGAGGUAAUGGCUCACCAAGGCGACGAUCGGUAGCUGGUCUGAGAGGAUGACCAGCAUCACUGGGACUGAGACACGGCCCAGACUCCUACGGGAGGCAGCAGUAGGGAAUUUUCCACAAUGGGCGAAAGCCUGAUGGAGCAACGCCGCGUGCAGGAUGAAUGUCUUCGGAUUGUAAACUGCUUUUAUAUGUGACGAUUAUGACGGUAGCAUAUGAAUAAGGAUCGGCUAACUCCGUGCCAGCAGCCGC
rnacentral:rRNA from 1 species